GCAACCGCGUCCGGCUCCCGCGCGGAGGAGGUGCCGCAGCGCGAGAAGGAGAGGGCCGCGGGCGUCCAGUCCCGACCCACCCCCGUGCGCUGCACCCCGCGCCGUUUCGCCACCUCCGCCUUCCGAUCUGCGCCGCCCUUACUGCGCUCCUUGCCGGAGGAAUUUUGCAGGCGCUCGACGAUGAUGUGCGGCUGGCGGUGGCCUGCAAGGGGACGAGGUGACCGCCGAUUCGUAGGCCGUCGCCGGCGAGCUAGUCGCUCGAACGCAUCGUCGGUUUCAACUAGGAAUACUUGGAUUGCACUCAAUGAAUGGUGUGCACUUAGGAGAAUUGUAACCCAGUGGAAUUAUGGCGCAUCACAUGACCAUUCAUAUCAUUUCUGCUCCUCUCAUCACGGUGGGAACGGGGAUGGGAUGGUUCAUUUGUGUGGCUCUCCCAAUCAGGUGCUUAGUGCUCCUCUAUUUUGUUGAAUGCAAGUUUGAAGAAACUGUUGAGGAAAAUCUGAAAUUUUAUUGUUUUUGGGCCUUUUCCUUGGUGAACCGGCUGGCCCAUUUGAUUGUUGGAGCCUAGGCCCAUGCGGUGAUGUAUAAGGGACCUGGGACUCGGUUCAGCUAGGGUUCACGAUGGGAAAAGGAAAGAGAGCAGAGAAGAGAGAGGCGGCGGUGGCGUAACUGCAUCCCCGAUCCCUUCGGGGGUCGUGGGAUGUUGGAGGGUGUCGCUGCGCAUAUAUGUAGGCUGGCUCUUCCUUCUCUGUGUGCAGACUCUGGAAAUCCUCUCCAUUCUCUUGGUUUCCUCACGGGUUUCCUCUUCCGUUGUGGGAAUCACCUAUUAUGCUGGAGCCGAGUGGAGCUCGGUCUUUGGCUUGGUGCUUUGAAGCUGCAAGGGAUCGGGUGAAGAAGCCCUUGUGUUGGUGCUUGUCGGUGCUGUGUGUGCCGAGGCUCGCCCGCACGCGCUGACGCAGUGCGGUGAGGCUGUGUAUCUCUGUUUUCCCUCUCGCUGGCGGCCACUGGCAGGUGAUUGGAUUUCUGGGACAACGUCUACAGAGCCGUGCCUUGCCUCGGUCAUCUGUGCGAUUCAGCAAGUAACAAUGUGAUUUUUGUCCCCUUUCUGUUCUAGACAACACUGUUACAUAUUCUAGUUGCUUAAUGAUGAAUUGGCAUUUUGAGACUGGGCAAUUUAUUUAGUACAAUAGUUAGACCUGUGAUUCUCUAGUUCUAUGAUACACUAAUCUGAAUUUGUGUAUGGCAUGGCGACACAUUUUUUUAUGUUGAUUGUCCAAUGGGCUAUCUGUUAUGGUUCCGAUGACUAGUUUGUGUGCUGCUGUUAGUUUAGAGAUAGCUUACCAAAAUUGAUUCUGGAUAAUGAAGUUGAUUCAUCUUGUUUUCUAUUGUCAGUACUCGCUUUGAAUCUUGCUAUCCUUUUGUUUAUCUCUGUCUCGGCAGCAUUUAGAUAGCUUUGUUCAGUUUAUGAGCUUUCUUUGAUUUGGUACAAUAGCACUGUUCCUGAUGAUGUUGUUUAAUUUUUUAGAACUCUGUCCAGGCUCUAAUAAGUAGUCGAAAACUUAGUAAAUUGUCCAGUCAAUGAUGUUUUCAAUAGGACAAUUA